AGAUAUCCAUACGAGCACACAAAAAGAACUUGGCUGGUUCUUCUGGUUUGCACUAGGAUGCCAAAGAAAAUGCUCUCCGCGCUUCCUGUCUGUCAGUGUGGCAAUCCAGGUUGAUUUGGAGAGUGCAUGU